rnacentral:rRNA from 1 species
GACGAACGCUGGCGGCGUGCUUAACACAUGCAAGUCGAACGGAAAGGCCCUGCUUUUGUGGGGUGCUCGAGUGGCGAACGGGUGAGUAACACGUGAGUAACCUGCCCUUGACUUUGGGUUAACUUCAGGAAACUGGGGCUAAUACCGGAUAGGAGCUCCUGCUGCAUGGUGGGGGUUGGAAAGUUUCGGCGGUUGGGGAUGGACUCGCGGCUUAUCAGCUUGUUGGUGGGGUAGUGGCUUACGAAGGCUUUGACGGGUAGCCGGCCUGAGAGGGUGACCGGCCACAAUGGUACUGAGAGACGGCCCAGACGCCUACGGGAGGCAGCAGUGGGGAAUAUUGCACAAUGAGCGGAAGCCUGAUGCAGCAACGCCGCGUGCGGGAUGACGGCCUUCGGGUUGUAAACCGCUUUCGCCUGUGACGAAGCGUGAGUGACGGUAAUGGGUAAAGAAGCACCGGCUAACUACGUG